rnacentral:rRNA from 1 species
UGGGGAAUUUUGGACAAUGGGCGAAAGCCUGAUCCAGCAAUGCCGCGUGUGUGAAGAAGGCCUUCGGGUUGUAAAGCACUUUUGUCCGGAAAGAAAUCCUUGGCUCUAAUACAGUCGGGGGAUGACGGUACCGGAAGAAUAAGCACCGGCUAACUACGUGCCAGCAGCCGCGGUAAUACGUAGGGUGCAAGCGUUAAUCGGAAUUACUGGGCGUAAAGCGUGCGCAGGCGGUUUGCUAAGACCGAUGUGAAAUCCCCGGGCUCAACCUGGGAACUGCAUUGGUGACUGGCAGGCUAGAGUAUGGCAGAGGGGGGUAGAAUUCCACGUGUAGCAGUGAAAUGCGUAGAGAUGUGGAGGAAUACCGAUGGCGAAGGCAGCCCCCUGGGCCAAUACUGACGCUCAUGCACGAAAAGCGUGGGGAGCAAAACAGGAUUAGAUACCCUGGUAGUCCACGCCCUAAACGAUGUCAACUAGUUGUUGGGGAUUCAUUUCCUAGUAACGUAGCUAACGCGUGAAGUUGACCGCCUGGGGAGUACGGUCGCAAGAUUAAAACUCAAAGGAAUUGACGGGGUCAUAGCUGUUUCCU